rnacentral:lncRNA from 1 species
UAACCUUCGACGCUCUGAACAGCUUAUCCUUAGUGAUAUCGUGCUCCCGGUUGGACGACGCCAAGGCCUGACUGAUCUUCCCAUAGUAGGCUGUAUCCAUCUCGAAGCGUUUGGCUUCCAGGGCAUGUCGCUUGUCUUGAUCUUCCAUCUUCACUUUGAUCUCUUGAUUAGCUGCCUGAAACCGAGCAACACUUCUCUCCAAUUCAGCUUUCUCCGCAAGUAA